rnacentral:rRNA from 1 species
GACGAACGCUGGCGGCGUGCUUAACACAUGCAAGUCGAACGGAAAGGCCCUGCUUUUGUGGGGUGCUCGAGUGGCGAACGGGUGAGUAACACGUGAGUAACCUGCCCUUGACUUUGGGAUAACUUCAGGAAACUGGGGCUAAUACCGGAUAGGAGCUCCUGCUGCAUGGUGGGGGUUGGAAAGUUUCGGCGGUUGGGGAUGGACUCGCGGCUUAUCAGCUUGUUGGUGGGGUAGUGGCUUACCAAGGCUUUGACGGGUAGCCGGCCUGAGAGGGUGACCGGCCACAUUGGGACUGAGAUACGGCCCAGACUCCUACGGGAGGCAGCAGUGGGGAAUAUUGCACAAUGGGCGGAAGCCUGAUGCAGCAACGCCGCGUGCGGGAUGACGGCCUUCGGGUUGUAAACCGCUUUCGCCUGUGACGAAGCGUGAGUGACGGUAAUGGGUAAAGAAGCACCGGCUAACUACGUGCCAGCAGCCGCGGUGAUACGUAGGGUGCGAGCGUUGUCCGGAUUUAUUGGGCGUAAAGGGCUCGUAGGUGGUUGAUCGCGUCGGAAGUGUAAUCUUGGGGCUUAACCCUGAGCGUGCUUUCGAUACGGGUUGACUUGAGGAAGGUAGGGGAGAAUGGAAUUCCUGGUGGAGCGGUGGAAUGCGCAGAUAUCAGGAGGAACACCAGUGGCGAAGGCGGUUCUCUGGGCCUUUCCUGACGCUGAGGAGCGAAAGCGUGGGGAGCGAACAGGCUUAGAUACCCUGGUAGUCCACGCUGUAAACGGUGGGUACUAGGUGUGGGGUCCAUUCCACGGGUUCCGUGCCGUGGCUAACGCUUUAAGUACCCCGCCUGGGGAGUACGGCCGCAAGGCUAAAACUCAAAGGAAUUGACGGGGCCCCGCACAAGCGGCGGAGCAUGCGGAUUAAUUCGAUGCAACGCGUAGAACCUUACCUGGGUUUGACAUGGAUCGGGAGUGCUCAGAGAUGGGUGUGCCUCUUUUGGGGUCGGUUCACAGGUGGUGCAUGGCUGUCGUCAGCUCGUGUCGUGAGAUGCUGGGUUAAGUCCCGCAACGAGCGCAACCCUUGUUCACUGUUGCCAGCACGUUAUGGUGGGGACUCAGUGGAGACCGCCGGGGUCAACUCGGAGGAAGGUGGGGAUGACGUCAAGUCAUCAUGCCCCUUAUGUCCAGGGCUUCACGCAUGCUACAAUGGCUGGUACAGAGAGUGGCGAGCCUGUGAGGGUGAGCGAAUCUCGGAAAGCCGGUCUCAGUUCGGAUUGGGGUCUGCAACUCGACCUCAUGAAGUCGGAGUCGCUAGUAAUCGCAGAUCAGCAACGCUGCGGUGAAUACGUUCCCGGGGCU